UACAGAGGUCCCGAGCGUUGUUCGGAUUCACUGGGCGUAAAGGGCGCGUAGGCGGCUCGCGAGGUCGGGGGUGAAAUCCCACGGCUUAACCGUGGAAGGGCCUUCGAUACCGGCGGGCUCGAGGAAGGUAGGGGUGCGCGGAACUUCUGGUGGAGCGGUGAAAUGCGUUGAUAUCAGAAGGAACGCCGGCGGCGAAAGCGGCGCACUGGAUCUUUUCUGACGCUGAGGAGCGAAAGCGUGGGGAGCGAACAGG
rnacentral:rRNA from 1 species